rnacentral:rRNA from 1 species
UCGAGUGCGCGGUCGUAGCAAUACGGCUGGCGCACGGCGCACGGGUGCGUAACACGUGGGCAAUCUGCCCUCGGAUGGGGGAUAACCCCGCGAAAGCGGGGCUAAUACCGCAUGACAUUCCGGAAACUCCGGUUUCUGGAUUCAAAGGCCGCAAGGCCGUCUGAGGAGGGGCCCGCGCCCGAUUAGCUAGUUGGUGAGGUCACGGCUCACCAAGGCUAUGAUCGGUAGCCGGUCUGAGAGGAUGGCCGGCCACACUGGAACUGAGACACGGUCCAGACUCCUACGGGAGGCAGCAGUGGGGAAUAUUGCGCAAUGGGCGAAAGCCUGACGCAGCGACGCCGCGUGGGGGAUGAAGCUUCUCGGAGUGUAAACCCCUUUCGACCCGGACGAAUGACCCGCAAGGGUUUGACGGUAUCGGGUAUAAGAGAGCCCACCGGCUAAUCAUACAGU